AGUCGCACGGGCAGCAAUGGCAGUGGCGGACGGUGAGGAACGCGUAGGGAUGUGUCCAGGGGUGGGGGAUAACGUUGGGAAACUGACGCUAAUACCGCAUGUGUGCUGAGGCACAAAGCCGUAAGGCGCCUUUGGAGCAACCUGCGUCCGAUUAGGUAGUUGGUGGGGUAAUGGCUUACCAAGCCUGCGAUCGGUAGCUGGUCUGAGAGGACGACCAGCCACACUGGGACUGAGACACGGCCCAGACUCCUACGGGAGGCAGCAGUGGGGAAUAUUGGACAAUGGGCGCAAGCCUGAUCCAGCAAUGCCGCGUGGAUGAAGAAGGUCUUCGGAUUGUAAAGUCCUUUCGACGGGGACGAUGAUGACGGUACCCGUAGAAGAAGCCCCGGCUAACUUCGUGCCAGCAGCCGCGGUAAUACGAAGGGGGCUAGCGUUACUCGGAAUUACUGGGCGUAAAGGGCGCGUAGGCGGCUCUGUAAGUCAGGCGUGAAAUUCCUGGGCUCAACCUGGGGGCUGCGCUUGAGAC
rnacentral:rRNA from 2 species